GAUGAACGCUGGCGGCGUGCCUAAUACAUGCAAGUAGAACGCUGAAGGAAGGAGCUUGCUCUUUCCGGAUGAGUUGCGAACGGGUGAGUAACGCGUAGGUAACCUGCCUGGUAGCGGGGGAUAACUAUUGGAAACGAUAGCUAAUACCGCAUAACAGUAGAUGUUGCAUGAUAUCUACUUAAAAGGUGCAAUUGCACCACUACCAGAUGGACCUGCGUUGUAUUAGCUAGUUGGUGAGGUAACGGCUCACCAAGGCGACGAUACAUAGCCGACCUGAGAGGGUGAGCGGCCACACUGGGACUGAGACACGGCCCAGACUCCUACGGGAGGCAGCAGUAGGGAAUCUUCGGCAAUGGACGGAAGUCUGACCGAGCAACGCCGCGUGAGUGAAGAAGGUUUUCGGAUCGUAAAGCUCUGUUGUAAGAGAAGGACGAGUGUGAGAGUGGAAAGUUCACACUGUGACGGUAUCUUACCAGAAAGGGACGGCUAACUACGUG
rnacentral:rRNA from 1 species